UACGUAGGGGGAUAGCGUUGUCCGGAAUCAUUGGGCGUAAAGCGCGCGUAGGCGGCCCGGUAAGUCCGUUGUGAAAGUCAAAGGCUCAACCUUUGAAAGCCGAUGGAUACUGCCGGGCUGGAGUCCGGAAGAGGCGAGUGGAAUUCCUGGUGUAGCGGUGGAAUGCGCAGAUAUCAGGAGGAACACCAAUAGCGAAGGCAGCUCGCUGGGACGGUACUGACGCUGAGGCGCGAAAGCGUGGGGAGCGAACAGG
rnacentral:rRNA from 1 species